rnacentral:rRNA from 1 species
GGACGAACGCGGGCGGCGCGCUUAACACAUGCAAGUCGAGCGAGAACCGGGGCUUCGGCCCCGGGGACAGCGGCGAACGGGUGAGUAACACGUGGGUAAUCUGCCCUUGACAUCGGGAUAGCCCGGGGAAACCCGGAUUAAUACCGAAUAGCCUCCGGAGCCUUCGGGCGCCGGAGAAAAGGUAGCUUCGGCCUCUGGUCAAGGAUGAGCCCGCGGCGGAUUAGCUUGUUGGCGGGGUAACGGCCCACCAAGGCGACGAUCCGUAGCUGGUCUGAGAGGACGAUCAGCCACACUGGGACUGAGACACGGCCCAGACUCCUACGGGAGGCAGCAGUGGGGAAUCUUGCGCAAAUGCGGGAAACCGUGACGCAGCGACGCCGCGUGGGGGAAGAAGGCCUUCGGGUUGUAAACCUCUUUCAGGAGGGACGAAGCUACUCGGGUGAAUAGCCCAGAGGGUGACGGUACCUUCAGAAGAAGCCCCGGCUAACUACGUGCCAGCAGCCGCGGUAAUACGUAGGGGGCAAGCGUUGUCCGGAUUUAUUGGGCGUAAAGAGCGUGUAGGCGGCUUGGUAGGUCUGCUGUGAAAACUCGAGGCUCAACCUCGAGCUGUCGGCGGAAACCACUUGGCUAGAGUCCGGAAGAGGAGAGUGGAAUUCCUGGUGUAGCGGUGAAAUGCGCAGAUAUCAGGAAGAACACCUAUGGCGAAGGCAGCUCUCUGGGACGGUACUGACGCUGAGACGCGAAAGCGUGGGGAGCGAACAGGAUUAGAUACCCUGGUAGUCCACGCUGUAAACGAUGGGUGCUAGGUGUGGGCGGUGUCGACUCCGUCCGUGCCGCAGCUAACGCAUUAAGCACCCCGCCUGGGGGAGUACGGCCGCAAGG